UAAGUGCCGAUGUAUCACACGUUGCGCAUGAUUAAGAGUCUUUCUGUGCAUCGUUUAGCGGCAUGGCUUCUGACAACACUGCACCGCUGGGCUCCGUCGAAAACCCAAUAAAAUUUCGGGACCAGGACUUCAAACUUCUUUUGGACAAGUGUUUGCAGUCCGGUGUGCUGUUUUCUGAUCCGACCUUCCCGGCUGACCAGACGUCCAUCGGUAUGCCCGCAGACCCGGAUCCAAAAAAAGAAAUUAAAUGGAAGCGCCCGAAGGAAAUCAGUAAAGAUGCUGUGUUUGUAGAGGGCACGACUGGGACCACUGAUAUUUGCCAGGGCCAACUUGGUGAUUGCUGGCUGCUGGCAGCCCUGUCCUGUCUGACCCAACACCCUAAGCUCUUUGAUAAUGUGCAGCCACCCAACCAGAGUCGGAGCAAGCCCUAUGCAGGGAUCUUCCAUUUUAGGUUCUGGCAGUAUGGUGUGUGGGUGGAGGUGGUUGUGGAUGACAGGCUGCCAGUACGAGAAGGCCGUCUGCUCUUCAGCUACUCUAACACCCGCAAUGAGUUUUGGAGCGCCCUAUUAGAGAAGGCCUAUGCCAAGUUAGUCGGAUCCUACGGGAGCCUGAAGGGGGGCAACAUUUCAGAGGGCAUGGAGGAUUUCACAGGAGGCAUUGCAUACUCACUUCCUGUCUCAUCUCACACCCCGCCAGUCAUGUGGAGGUCACUGACCGCAGCCCUUUCUCGAGGCAGCCUGCUUAGCUGCUUCAUCCAGGCCAGCAGCUACAGUGAUGUUGGUAAAAUAACCGGAGAUGGGCUGAUAAAGGGCCAUGCCUACGCCAUCACUGACACUGACAAGGUAAAGAAAGGGUCAGAUGAUAUUUUCUUACUGAGGCUGAGGAACCCCUGGGGUUUCAUCGAGUAUAAAGGACCUUGGAGUGACGCGGGUAAAGAGUGGGAUAAUGUGGACAAAUCAGAGAAAGAAAGGAUUGACCUAAAACUGAAAGAAGAUGGAGAGUUCUGGAUCAGUGUCAAUGACUUCAGCAGCCUCUUUGAUGUCGUGGAGCUCUGUAAUGUGAAUCCUGAGUCAGAUGUGGAGGAAGACGCACCCACCUCCACGUCUACCUGGACCAUCAGCGAACAUCAAGGAUCCUGGGUGCCAGGGAGCUCUGCAGGUGGCAGCUGCAAAUACACCAAAUCAUUCUGGAAGAAUCCUCAGUUCCAGCUGGUGCUCAGAGAGAAAGAUCAUGAUGAGAAAGAUAAAAAUGAAAAAAAGACCCCAGAGGAGAAGAAGAACGUGGAGAAAAAGAAGAAACAAUGCACAGUACUAGUGGAGCUGCUGCAGAAAAACUGCAGGCAGAAGGAUAAAAUUAACUUCCUCCGCAUAGCUUUUCACAUCUACAAGGUUCCAUCUGAGUUUGAGGGUUCUUGUCUGGACCGCAACUUCUUUUUGAAAAAUCAGCCUGUGGAGCAAUCUGGGGAAUACAAGGCUCAAAGAGGUGUGUGGAAGAUGCUCUACCUGGAUCCAGGUAACUACAUAAUCGUGGGGUCCAGCGAACAACCCAACCAGCCUGGAGAGUUAUUUGUUCGCAUUUUCUCCAAGACUGGAAACACGCUGGGAACGCAGGACUUUACCUGCUCCUCUGGUUUCCUCACAGUUAUGGCCACUCCUGUCUCCCCUGAGGAUCAGAUGACUGUUCAGAAGACUUUUGAUGAGAAAGCUGGCCCAAAUGACAGACUGAAUGCCAAAGAGAUCAUGGAGCUGUUUAACUCAGUUCUUGACAAAGAUUACCAUCUGCCACUGGAGACGUGCAGGCAGGUCAUCUUUGGGGAAGAUACGAAUGGACACUCCACUCUCAACCGUGCUCAAGCAGAAACAUUGCUGUCCACUCUGCGCAGUCUGCAGUCCAUCUUUUUACAGUUUGAUGAGGAUUCUUCCGGGACCAUGAGCCCUUUUGAGCUCAGUCUUGCGCUGGAAGCUGUUGGAAUGCAGUGUGAUAACAAGGUAGUUCAGCUGCUGUCUGAGCGCUUUGCAGCUGGAGAGCUUCAAAUGCCUUUCCAUGGCUUCGUGUCAUGUGUCACCAGGCUGCGCAAGCUUUUUGGUAACACACACACACACAAAAACACCAACAAGUACAGCAUUAAAAUGAGCAUCAUCUCUAAAGUGUUUCUGUCGUCAAAAUUUUAGCAUUCUUCCUCAAACAGUUCUUGAACAGGUUUUACCAUGAGGCGGUAUCUUGCUGAAAGAGGGCACUGUUAUCUCACUGGUGAUGUUUGCAACAACGUUUGAUUUUUAAGAUGUCACUGAGUAUCACACAGAUCUGCUUAACCCCAGUUAUGUCAUAUUUGCAGUAAGAUGUACUUAGCAGCAUUAUGUAGACAUGCAUAAAUGUUAAUUGCACUGAUAUCAAUUAGUUUUAAAAGCAUCUUGUAACAGUCUGUGGUUUUACAGCUUUAUGCUUCAGUGUUGCCAGUUGUCUUUAUCAUAAGAAACUCCUGUUGUUUUAGAUUUGCUUCUUUCUGUUACAAGAUCUGGCAACCUUGGAUCUGGCAUUUUUUUGUGGAUUUCAUGUGAACAGGCAACUGUAUCAUUUUUCAUUUUCAAUGUUCUUCCAUAACACAAUUUUGUUAGAUGAUGGAACAAUUCAGAUCUGCCAGCUGAUAGUUAAUGUCAUUAUUAGGCAAUCUGUCAUUUUCUCUUCUACUCUUUACAGCGCUAUAUGAAACAGAAACCAGUCAAGAAGUGAAAGACAGAGGAAUCAACUCUUGGCUGCUUCAGUUUCUGACUGUGUGAGUUUGCUGCAUCCAAAGCAUCUCCACAUGGAUCAACAUGAUCAUUAAUAAUACACUACAAGUCUAUCUUUGUUUAAAACUGUUUUUACUCACUGUAUCUAUUUUUAUUCUUACUUAAUGAAAACAUAAAAGUUUCCUUUUGUUGAUCAUUUCAUUAUUAUGUAAUACUAUUAUAGCACUCCAUAUAGUAAAUAAAAUCUAAUUCAUAAUCA